UGGAGAGAAACAUUUUAAUAGGUUUGCUUAGUGUGCUUGUGGCAUGGACGUGGCUCGCUAAGAGGUAGAGAGCAGACAGAAGGAGACCACCAAGAUAACCAACUUUACUCAACUUCAAGGCCCACAAAAACCGAGUAUGUGAUCAGGGUCAGUUAUCUUUGGACUAUUCUGGGGUCUUGGACUUCUGAACUGCAUGAAAACAUGGCAGGACCUGACUGGAGAUCAGCACCAGAUUAAGAGGUUGACUGAUAAGGGAUGAAAAAGGUGAAGUCUAAUAAGCAGAGGGCAAGAAGCAGAGGAAGAUGACUGUAGAGAAAAUCCACAGCUUCCCUGGAAACCAUGUUAUCUGCAGAAAAAUAAAAGCACUAGUUUAUCUGUUU